GCCAUGGCUCAGUGGUAGAGCAUCUGCUUUGUAAGCUGAAGGCCUCAGGUUCAAUCCCUGGGUGUCUCCA